UUGACCUCGAAUCAGGUAGGAAUACCCGCUGAACUUAAGCAUAUCAAUAAGCGGAGGAAAAGAAACCAACCGGGAUUACCUCAGUAACGGCGAGUGAAGCGGUAACAGCUCAAAUUUGAAAUCUGGCUCUUGCGGAGUCCGAGUUGUAAUUUGUAGAAGAUGCUUUGGGUUGUGGGUUCGGCCUAAGUUCCUUGGAACAGGACGUCAUAGAGGGUGAGAAUCCCGUAUGUGGCCGAGGCCCGCGCCUAUGUAAAGCUCUUUCAACGAGUCGAGUUGUUUGGGAAUGCAGCUCAAAAUGGGUGGUAAAUUUCAUCUAAAGCUAAAUAUGGGCCAGAGACCGAUAGCGCACAAGUAGAGUGAUCGAAAGAUGAAAAGCACUUUGGAAAGAGAGUUAAACAGUACGUGAAAUUGUUGAAAGGGAAGCGCUUGCAACCAGACUUGGGCGCUGCCGAUCACCUUGAGUUUUCUCGAGUGCACUCGACAGCGCACAGGCCAGCAUCGGUUCGGGUGGCUGGAUAAAGGCCGUAGGAAUGUGGCUCUCUUCGGGGAGUGUUAUAGCCUACGGUGCCAUGCAGCCCAGCCGGACCGAGGACCGCGCCUUCGGGCUAGGAUGCUGGCGUAAUGGUUGUAAGCGACCCGUCUUGAAACACGGACCAAGGAGUCUAACAUCUAUGCGAGUGUUUGGGUGGUAAACCCAUACGCGGAAUGAAAGUGAACGUAGGUGAGAACCCCUUUGGGGCGCAUCAUCGACCGAU
rnacentral:rRNA from 1 species